AUUGAACGCUGGCGGCAGGCCUAACACAUGCAAGUCGAACGAGUGGCGGACGGGUGAGUAAUGUCUGGGAAACUGCCCGAUGGAGGGGGAUAACUACUGGAAACGGUAGCUAAUACCGCAUACCAUCGGAUGUGCCCAGAUGGGAUUAGCUAGUAGGUGGGGUAACGGCUCACCUAGGCGACGAUCCCUAGCUGGUCUGAGAGGAUGACCAGCCACACUGGAACUGAGACACGGUCCAGACUCCUACGGAAGGCAGCAGUGGGGAAUAUUGCACAAGGGGCGCAAGCCUGAUGCAGCCAUGCCGAGUGUAUGAAGAAGGCCUGCGGGUUGUAAAGUACGUUCAGCGGGGAGGCGUUACCCGCAGAAGAAGCACCGGCUAACUCCGUGCCAGCAGCCGCGGUAAUUC
rnacentral:rRNA from 1 species